rnacentral:rRNA from 1 species
UACAGAGGGUGCAAGCGUUAAUCGGAGUUACUGGGCGUAAAGGGCGCGUAGGCGGUCUAUCAAGUGGGAUGUGAAAGCCCCGGGCUUAACCUGGGAACUGCAUCCUGGACUGAUAGGCUGGAGUACUGUAGAGGAUAGUGGAAUUUCCGGUGUAGCGGUGAAAUGCGUAGAGAUCGGAAGGAACACCAGUGGCGAAGGCGACUGUCUGGACAGAUACUGACGCUGAGGCGCGAAAGCGUGGGGAGCAAACAGG